rnacentral:tRNA from 1 species
GGGGUUGUGGCUUAGUGGUAGAGUGUUUGCCUAGCAUGUGUGAGGCAUUGUGUUCCAACCUCAACACCA